GGCCUCGUAGCUCAGAGGAUAGAGCGUCGGUUUCCUAAACCGUGCGUCGCAGGUUCGAUUCCUGCCGAGGCCA
rnacentral:tRNA from 1 species